UGCGCGGCCGCCGCCGUCUGGCUGGGAUCAGAGGAGCCAGGCCAACUGCUUCUCAUUAAGUCCCAACUGUGGUUUUUAUCAGGAGAGCCUCUUUCAAAGGGCACAGACACGAAGCUCCGCGGACUCGCUCAUUUCCUCCACUGACCCCCACACACCUCCCUGCCCUCCCUUCCACGUUCUCACCGCCCCGACUGGGCGAAGGCCGGAGCUGCCUGGCCACUCCGCAGAGGCCCGCGAGGCGCCAGCGGGGCGGAGGCGAGUUGGGAGGCGAUCUCGAAGGAUUCAGCUCCGGGCCUAAGCUUCAGGAUGUGGCAGCAAAGAUGAGGCGGGCGCGGGCACCGACACUUCCACAGGUCAGCCGGUGCAGUGGCAGCCGCGGGGUUGGGUUCAGGCCCGCUCAGGCGCGCUCUUUGGAGACCGCACGGUCCAACUGGCGUUAGCGUCCAGGGCACCAGCCCAGGAGCAGCCGGAGGCGCCCAGGGCUUAGGCCCGCUCCCGACGGCCCCGCAGUGAUCAUCCAGUGCGAGGAAGCCAAGACUGCUAGAAGGGCGGCCAUCGCCGUGCAUACGACGGAGAGGCCAGGAGGACCUACUCUGUGACAGGCAUUUGCUGGCAGUGGGAUACAGCAGACAGCAAGACAGACGUGACCCCUGCCACAUGUCAACUUUGCUGGAAUGGAAAUGUCUCCUCCACAAUGAAAAAAAAAAUCAUCAUUUGGAUGUGAAUAAGAAUGGAAUCUGGUCUCCAGAGCAGAACUCCUGGCCUCUAGCCUCAACUUUAAGGUUGGUUCUUGAACUGAACAUUGGUCCCAACUUCAGCUUUCCUUGUCUUUUUGACUGCCCUCAGCCUAUGCCACACGAAGGGGAACGUGCCCCUUUAUCUCCCAGGGGAUGUCCAGGAGCAGUCAGAACAACGGGAAAGAUGGAACCUCAGAUCUGACAUUUCUUUGAAUUACAAAACUUCCUUCCAGACAGGAAAAACUCAGUUGCUUUUUCUUUUUUUUCUUUGAAGGCAAGACAGUCAAUAUUACUCUUGUCCUGUUUAGACUUUGAAAUCCUAAAUUGAUCCCUAUGAAAAUUCUGGGAUGGGGAGCCCACGUAGAUUGUUUCUCAUUAGUGACAUUCUUCCUGGAAGGUCAGACUAAGGAAUGGUAAAUAAACCUUUAGAUCCGGUACUUCCCCCUCACCCAUGAUAUUUAAAAGAAAGAAAAGAAGGGGGGUGGGGGAAGCAGCAGCUUUGUGCUGUGGAUACCCAGGAUCCUUGGCUGUCAUUCUGACAACCCAGGCUGAAGUCUGUGCUUUGGGAUAAAAUUUCUGGAAAGGGAGGGAGCUACUUUUUUCUCUUCUGUUGAUUUGCUCUCUUUCAAUAGGAGAACCAGUUAACUUGUAUGUACCCGUUUCUUCCCCAGAAGAAGGAGGAGAGUGAGUCUGUAGUUCAGCUUUUCUGGAAUGAAUGAGUUCACAGAGAUGUUUCUUGAGCCUGAACUUGUAUUUCUCUGCUCAUUUUCUCCACCCACCCUCCUCGGGUCGGGCUGGUAUGGGGGCAGGGGCCAGAAAGGCAGAGCUUCAUCUGGGAUGUGGCGGUGCUCUGCAGGCCGGGUUUGCCCUGACAUCUGCCUUACUGCCAUGGUGUUACAAUAAAUGUGUUCUGUGGCAA